rnacentral:rRNA from 1 species
AACAAGGAUUCCCCCAGUAACGGCGAGUGAAGUGGGAAUAGCCCAGCACCGAAUCCCUCAGCCUUGCGCUGCCGGGACCUGUGGUGUUAGGGACGACCGCUGUCGUGUUGUUCGGGUGCCCAAGUCCUCCCGAUCGGGGCCUCUCCCACAGUGGGUGUCAGGCCUUUACCGGCACUCGUCGACACGGCUAUGGUCGCCCUCGGAGUCGGGUUGUUUGGGAAUGCAGCCCAAAGUUGGUGGUAAACUCCAUCUAAGGCUAAAUACUGACACGAGUCCGAUAG